GGCUGAACACGCUCUGCGAUUCCGGCAGCGAUCUUCCCCUGGGCGCGGCGGCAGGUCUGCUGGUGACAGACCCGUGCAAGUUGCCGUUCGUGCCGUCAGCCGAGCUGCCCGCUCCUGCAGCCUCAAGAACGCCGGACAUGAAGAGCAACGGGAGGAGAGGCGCCAUGUACACAAGCUUCAUCCCGCUGGACGAUGCCAUUGGCAGAGCUAAUCACGCUGCAGUGCAGGUUGUUAUUUGCAACCCGGGCUCGAACAGUCAAGCUAGCGAACAAGAUCAGAACAGAAUUUAUAGAUAUACUGCAGCUCUUGUUGCAAGCUGCUCAGGUUGGUGCUGGUUGCUGGAUGCUUGGAUUGGAUGCUGAC
rnacentral:misc_RNA from 1 species